rnacentral:lncRNA from 1 species
GGCAGUCACGAAUUUUCACUCCUCUGAAAAAUGGAAAUUCAGUAACAGGAUUUGUUAGAAAGAAAUGCCUCAGCUUAGGCAGUUCUUCAAGCUCCAACUUUUCCAACAGGGGAAAUAAGGUCAUGAUUUCUUCUCCUUGUUGUUCCUCUUCUGUGAUCACUUCUUCCAUUGACACACAAUUGUCUAUUAAUAUUCUUCGUAGAUUCAGUGCACCCCGAGCCACUGAUGGAGACAUCAAGUUUCUCAACUUUCCACAAUCCGAUACAUGCAAUGUUUCAAGUUUGCUGAAGUAGGCAGUUGGAAGUUGGUGAGAGCAUAGAGCACUUAUGCUUUCAAGUUUCCUGAUGAUUAGCUGGUGAGAGCAUAGAGCACUUAUGCUUUUAAGUUUCCUGAUGAUUAGCUCUUUCAAGUUAGGACAAGAAACCUGCAAACGUUGAAGUAUUAUAAAGCAAUUCAGAAUUUAAAAUUUAUAGAUAUCUCUAAUGAACUCAGGUUAAUAUCCAAUAACAAUCGCGUUCACAAUCAAGGAAUCUCUAGAUAUUACUAAUACAGAUUAAAGUCUCUAGGAAAAAGCUAUUAGAUUCACGUGAACCCUUGAGUUACAAUAUUGUAGCUUCGCUUAUAUUUCUUACCUCCGUUUACAUAGAUAUCAGGUGGCAAACAGAAAUAACUGUAUGAAAAUAUUACUAUUACUAUUAUUAUUUGCUAGUUAAAAUGGAAAGAUAGCAACAUACCAGGGGUGUAUUAAUGUAUGACACAAAUAUAUAUAGUAUUUAGUUAUAAAGCUAACGGCACAAGACAAACCUUAGAAUUGAACAUUGCUUUAUUGAGAUCAACUACUUUCACCUCAUCAGCAUUGUUCACACUUUCGAGACUCAGCGUACUCACAGAUAUUCCCUGUUGGACAAACAUCUUCAUUUCAUGGCAGUCACGAAUUCUCAAUUCUCUGAGAAAUGGAAAUUCAGUAACAUGCUUUGUCAAAAAGAAAUGCCUCAGCUUACGCAGUUCUUUAAGCUCCAACUUUUCCAACAGGGGAAAUAAGGUCAUGAUUUCUUCUCCUUGUUGUUCCUCUUCUGUGAUCACUUCUUCUAUCGACACACAAUUGUCUAUUAAUAUUCUUCGUAGAU